rnacentral:miRNA from 1 species
CUUCCUCUUCCUCUUCCUCUUCCUCUUCCUCUUCCUCUUCCUCUUCUAGAAAUUAAUAGUAUCUAGAAGCCCCUAACAUAGGCUUGGGACUACAAGCUCAUUUCUGCUUUCACUGCUUGAACAUUGCCUGGUCUUAGAUUUUGCCUGAUAUCAAAGCUGCUAUAUAAGUUCUAUAUGGA